rnacentral:ncRNA from 2 species
AUUCGUUCUCAGGGCGGGGUGAAACUCCCCACCGGCGGUAAGGAGGAAACUCCAAGCCCGCGAGCGCCUGGUCUUCCGAAGGGGAGGGCAGGGUCAGCAGAUCCGGUGUAACUCCGGAGCCGACGGUUAAAGUCCGGAUGAAAGAGAAUGAGG